rnacentral:rRNA from 1 species
CGGACGGGUUAGUAACACGUGAGAUACAUACCCUUUAGACAGGAAUAGCCCAUGGAAACGUGGAUUAAUGCCUGAUAGUCUCUACGGAGUAAAGGAUGCCUUCGGGUGUCGCUAAGGGAUUGGCUCGCGGCCUAUCAGCUAGUUGGUGAGGUAAAGGCUCACCAAGGCGACGACGGGUAGCUGGUCUGAGAGGACGAUCAGCAACACUGGAACUGAGACACGGUCCAG